GAUGAACGCUGGCGGCGUGCCUAAUACAUGCAAGUCGAGCGAAGCGGGGACGGGUGAGUAACACGUGGCUACCCUCCUAUAAGACUGGGAUAACUUCGGGAAACCGGAGCUAAACCGGUUACUUAUAGGUGGAUCCUAGCUGCCUUAGCUAGUUGGUAAGGUAACGGCUUACCAAGGCAACGAUGCAUAGCCGACCUGAGAGGUGGAUCGGCCACACUGGAACUGAGACACGGUCCAGACUCCUACGGGAGGCAGCAGUAGGGAAUCUUCCGCAAUGGGCGAAAGCCUGACGGAGCAACGCCGCGUGAGUGAUGAAGGUCUUCGGAUCGUAAAACUCUGUUAGUUGGGAAGCGUUACCUAAACAGAAAGCCACGGCUAACUACGUGCCAGCAGCCGCGGUAAUAC
rnacentral:rRNA from 1 species